AGAAGUCAGUGAUUAACAAAGGAACA
rnacentral:piRNA from 1 species